rnacentral:misc_RNA from 1 species
AAAAUUUUGGAUAUUUUCACUUCGUUUGAACAAUAAUCUUGUUUCAUGUAUUUAUUGUUUGAGAGAAAAAAUGACUAAUGAUACAUGUUUUGUUUUGUUCAUUUUGCUUCUUUCUUGUUCAUAUUGCUUCUUUCCAGCUCCGUUCUUGUUCUAAAGGAACGUCACCUUCCUUCUGAACCUGAGACUGAGAGCUUAAACUCAAUUUCUGAAAGAAUUAUCAGUUACAGUUUUUUUGCCAUAAAUAAAAUGGUGUUUAUACCACGUUAUCCCAAAGAACAGGCAACCUGCAAUGCAUCUAACAAUGCUGUUGGUGGCAUCUAGCUAAAUCAACCAUGGAAUUAAAUUUUUUGAAAGAUUUCAACAUUUGCACAAGGAUUCAGCUUCAGUUCCUCUAUUUUCCACAGAGGACAAGCCAGAGGAAAACAAACAUGUCAACUUACAUAAAUAUCAAUAAGCAUUCAGACCCAAACAUUAUGAACAUGCCAUAAUCUUAGCCGCAUUCAGCAGCCAUUUCUUUACAUGAUUUUAUAGGAUCAGAGAUACGAUGUGGAAUUAACAACAUAAAUCACCUUGGAGAAGCACCUUCUUCUUUGGCAAUUGGAAGUUGCAACAUAAGAGAGCAUAAACAAUUAUAUACAGAAGCCCAUUAUUGCAGCAAUCCUACUCUUGUUGCUGUGAGCUUUGCCAAGACCAAGGAGUAGAUGCAACACAAGAGAGAAUAAACAUUAUAUACAGAGGACCAUUAUUGCAGCAAUCCUACUCUUGUUGCUGUGAGCUUUGCCAAGACCAAGGA